AAUUUUUUUUUUUUUUCUUGCCUCUCUCUCUCCUCUCUUUCCAUUCCUUUUCUUUUCUUUUCGAACGUUUCUCUUCCUCCGUCUUUUCUUCUUUUUUUUUUCUUUUCUUUUCUUUUUCACGACUUGUUUGUUUGUUUGUUUGUUUCCAACUUUCUUUCUUUCUUUCUCUCACUGUCCCGUCGAUCGUGUCGCGUCCUACCACCAUUUCAUUGUUUGUCGCUUUUGUGUUCGUCCAGUUUUUCUAUACAUUACUCCUUGUAUGAUGUUCAAGCCGUUCUCGUAGCGUUGUAGUGAGUAGUACACUGUGAGGCAGAAUUCUUGUUUUUCAACAUUCACCAACAGAAAAGAAAAAAAGAAAGAAAAAAGAAAAAAAAAAAAAGAAAGAACACCACUGUUUCUAUUUCUCUCUUUCUAGCAGCCUAUCGCAGCCUAUCCAGGUGCAAAGAACUAGUUGCAAUACACCAAUCACCCGUUUCGGUGCCUAGGUCUCGUAAAAUGAGUCGCAAGAUGUUUCCGCAGCCACACGUGACCGCUCCAUUUCUAUCUGUUUCUGAGAACGUGCAAUCAUGCCUCUUUAACCAACUUACUUUCGAAUCUGUUCCGUUAGGUUCGGGGAAACUAACCGAUUAUCAAAAAAAAAAAAAAAAAGAAAAAACCAAUUGUGCCUCCCUCACGUGUGUGUGUGAUGAGAUCCGCUCGAUACCGAAAGUAAAAUUUCAAAAAAAAAAAAAAACAAAAAGAAAAAAGCCACACGGAAGCAAAAUGAAAGUGGUGAAAUGGAGCGUGAUCGCGGUCUUGUAAAUAAGAAGUAGUAGUUGAAGUGACAUGUCUUUUAUGAAUGACACGUACACCACUCUGCUGACAAGCUGUGCUGCACGAACCCCGGCUAUCAAAACCCUCGCUGCUGUUUUGCUGCCCCACACAAAAAAAAAUAUAUAUAUAAACGCUACACUGAGAGUUGUCGAGAUAACGAUUUUCGAAACAAAAAAGAAAUUAAAUAAAAUAAAAUAAAAUAAUAGUAAAGUAAAGUGUAAAAAUACGCACACGCGCGCAUGUUUUUUUUUUUUUGUUUUUUUUUUCUUUAAGGAAAGGAAGGAGAUUCGCAAUAGGUCGGAUUCGUACGUUUCGGAUUUGCUGAAUGAUGUGUGGGCCGAGAAACGAGAUGGGAUACUUCGCGCGUUCGCGUAACUUUCGGACGAAACGAACGAACUUUUUCAAACUCGACGAAGAGACGCACGUUGGCGACAAAUCGCGAAAUCGUGGCCAAAGGUUUUUUGAAAGCAACAGCAUUAUUCAAAAAUGCUUGGACCAAAGAUUAAAAUUUCGAUCUCUUUGGCCACGAAUUCUCAAAAACUCGCCCAUUCGCGGUGGUUGGCUCUAGAGACAAAUUCGACGUCGAAAGCUCGAACGUUCGCGAACGUGUUUAAAAUUGUCCACGAUCCGAGGAGACAGAGAACGAAUGAAAACGGAAAAAAGAAAAGAAAAAAAAGAAAAAAGAAAAAGGAAGAAGAACGAGGAAAAUGUCAGAGAAACUGGCGGGGACAAACGCACGCAUAGAAGGGAAAAGACGAAAGAAAGAAAAAAAAAAGGGAAGUGCG